UGGGCAGUUGGAAAUGGUGGGACUGAGUUUGAAAACAAUUUUCUCCAGCACCGCUUUUGGCGUUUCCAUUCUCUGCUUAAUGCCUGAGCCUGAGCGGCUUUGCCUGACCAGUGAUCAUCCCCCAAUCUCCAAUAUCCGGUCAUGGCUUCAUUCAACGGCAUUAACUAGCGGCGCAACUCUCACGACCUCAUCACCUGUUUUGGUGAUCAGAGGCAUACGGCACCCACCAGGCGACAGCAAGUACGGUGUCCCUCUUGUCUUUCAGAUUCUACCCUUUUGCUUCUGUUGGAGAAAAAAAGCUUGGAGCUUUGAGGCCAAGGUUGUGCCACGUUACCCGUAUGGAAUAAAGCGGGAAGAUAACGAGGAAGAGCCAAAGAGUGAACCUUAUGCUUCAGAAAGAAACUGAUAAUAUAUUAAAUGCACCCGGGGGAGAGAGAGAGAGAAGCCCUUUAUUAUUUUUAUUGAAAGGAAUGGUGUGGGUUUUUUGUGGAGCUGUUGUCUUCGUUUCUGCUUCGAAAAAUAAAGAAAAUUUUUUGAGGCUGUCGUAUUUCUCAACAGAGUGUAACUAAAGCCUCGUUGUGUUCUGUGGUUAUAUUUUCAAGUUGGUUCAGCAGGAAGAGGAAGAUCCUUUCUUGGUGAUGGUGCUUGGUCAUAUCUCUCUCUAGCCUAGGGCAUAGGGAGAUAGCUUUUGCAUUUGAGAAGCUGAGUUAUUGGGCUAUGGAUUGAUGAGAAGUUGAGUUCUUUUUGGUUGUCCAUGGAAAUGAGGUUUUGAUUGAAAUGUUAACAGUGGAAAUGAGGGAGUUUCCAUUUCUUGGAUGCUUUUAUUCUGGCUUUCAUGCAGCUCUAGGGGGUUGACCAUGGAGGAUUUUUCUGGGUCUUCUUUGCAGAAGUCUGAUAAUACUAGGGGAUUAAGUACAUCCAGAGUCUCAGAUUGGAAUCCAAGACCUGCAUCUCGUUAUUCUAGGUUUAGAAAGGAGACUGAUAGGGUUGUGCUGGCGCGCCAUAACCUCAAAAACCAGGUUAGUUCUUUUGGGGGUUACAAGGAUGAAGCUGCUGUUGACCCUUUUGCCCGAACCUUAGAAUGGGGUGAUGUUAGCUUGAGGCAGUGGUUGGACAAACCUGAAAGAUCCGUUGAUGUAUUUGAAUGUUUACAUAUAUUUAGGCAAAUAGUUGAGAUUGUAAAUGUUGCACACUCACAAGGAAUUGUUGUUCAUAAUGUUCGGCCAUCUUGCUUCAUAAUGACAUCAUUUAACCAUGUCUCUUUCAUUGAGUCUGCUUCUUGUUCGGAUUCUGGGUCAGAUUCUUUAGAAGAUGGACCGAACAGCCAAACCUUGGAGAUUAAAAGUUCAUCUUCUCCCUUGCCUAAUGACACGUUUCAGCAAAGUAGUAGGUUGGGAAGUGAAGAUUUUCGACCUGCAUCAACUCCAAAAAAUGCUUCAUCUGAAGCCAGUUGCAUUCAAUCAAGUUCAGUUCAUGCCACAAAUGUACCUUUUGGGGAGGACACUGAAGAUAAAAUCAGUGAUAGGAGGAAGGCUGAACAAGAAGAAGAAGAAAGGAAACAGCCUUUUCCAAUGAAGCAGAUUUUGCUCAUGGAGACCAGUUGGUACACUAGUCCUGAAGAGAUUGCUGGUUCACCAAGCACUUGUGCUUCAGAUAUCUACAGACUGGGAGUUCUGCUAUUUGAGUUGUUCUGCCCCUUCAGCUCAAGAGAAGACAAGAGAAGAACUAUGUCUAGUCUGAGACAUCGGAUUCUUCCUCCUCAGUUGUUACUGAAAUGGCCAAAAGAAGCUUCAUUUUGCCUGUGGUUGUUGCACCCAGAGCCUGCUAGUCGGCCAAAAAUGGGUGAGUUGUUACAAAGCGAGUUCCUUAAUGAACCAAGAGAUAAUUUGGAAGAACGCGAAGCAGCAAUUCAACUUAGGGAGAGAAUAGAGGAGCAGGAAUCAUUGCUGGAAUUCCUUCUGCUGAUACAGCAAAGAAAACAGGAAGCUGCUGAUAAGUUGCAAGAUACUGUUUCCCUUCUGUGUUCUGAUAUUGAAGAAGUUAUGGUACAUCAAACAUUUCUUAUGAAAAAAGGAGGCUCAUGUUCUGAAAGAACGAAAGAUGAUAAUUUAGCAUCAAAUCUCCCUCAAUUGAGUAUUGUUGAUAAUGAUGAGUCAUCUAGCUUGGUUUCUAGAAAGCGAUUUCGACCAGGCAUUCAGAUUCUUGAUGUAGAGGAAUGUGAUGAUAAUCUAGAUGAUGGUCAGAACUCAGAUAUGAUCACAGAAACUCAAGGAAGUCUACUCUUCAAAAGUUCACGGUUGAUGAACAAUUUUAAGCAAUUAGAGUCGGCAUAUUUUUUGACAAGAUGCAGGCCAGUAAGACCAUCAGGGAAACCAUUUACUAGGCAUUCACCAAUGAGUAGUGAUGGGAGAGGUUCUAUUGUUGUUACUGAAAGAAGCUCCAUUGAUAACUUAGCACCAAAAGAGCUGUACAUUGAGAGUAGGAGGGGAUGGAUAAGUCCAUUUCUAGAGGGCUUUUGCAAAUACUUAUCUUUCAGCAAGUUAAAAGUUAAGGCUGAUUUGAAACAAGGCGAUUUGUUAAACUCUUCAAACCUAGUUUGCUCCCUUAGUUUUGAUCGUGAUGGAGAAUUUUUUGCUACAGCUGGUGUGAAUAAGAAGAUAAAAGUAUUUGAAUGUGAUGCGGCUAUAAAUGAAAAUCGUGAUAUACACUAUCCUGUUGUGGAGAUGGCUAGCAGGUCAAAACUAAGCAGUGUGUGCUGGAACAGUUACAUUAAAAGCCAGAUUGCCUCUAGUAACUUUGAAGGUGUGGUGCAGGUGUGGGAUGUCACAAGAAGUCAAGUACUAACAGAAAUGAGAGAACAUGAGAGGCGUGUAUGGUCUAUUGACUUUUCAUCAGCGGAUCCAACAAUGUUAGCUAGCGGGAGUGAUGAUUGUUCUGUUAAGCUCUGGAAUAUCGAUCAGGCAAUUCUAUUCUUGCACUUGGUGGAUGUCAGCUUUGAAACUAAACGGAGUAAGUAUUGGUACAAUCAGAACAAAGGCUAAUGUCUGCUCUGUUCAAUUUCCCUUGGAAUCUAGCCGUUUUCUUGCAUUUGGUUCAGCAGAUCAUAGAAUUUAUUAUUAUGAUCUUCGUAACUCAAAAGUUCCGUUAUGCACAUUGGUUGGACACAAUAAAACUGUGAGUUAUGUGAGGUUUGUAGACCCAACAAAUCUUGUUUCUGCAUCCACGGAUAACACAUUAAAGCUCUGGGAUUUGUCAAUGUGUACAUCUCGGGUUAUUGAUACUCCCCUUCAAUCAUUCACGGGCCACAUGAACAUUAAGAACUUUGUGGGUUUGUCAGUAUCAGAUGGUUAUAUUGCAACUGGCUCAGAAACAAAUGAGGUAUUCAUCUACCAUAAAGCUUUCCCCAUGCCAGCAUUGUCAUUCAAGUUCAACAACACCGAUCCGCUUUCAGGUCAAGAAAUGGAUGAUCCUGCUCAGUUUAUUUCAUCUGUCUGCUGGCGAGCCCAGUCGUCUACCUUAGUUGCUGCGAAUUCUACUGGGAAUAUCAAAAUUUUGGAGAUGGUUUGAUUUGGUAUGUGAUCUUCAAACCACAAAUGGAAGUUUAUGAAAAGAAACAAGACAAUGAGGACAAUAAUCUUGCAUCUUAGGGAAUUCUGAAGCUAAGGUAAGGUAAAUGAUAAGGGAACUGGAAGGCUGCAAUUAAAAUUACAAUUUUUCUUGGGAUUAGAUCAUAGAGUAUGCAGUUAAUGCAAUGAGAUACUGCUCAGGAUCCAAAUGUACUAUAGACAAAUUCAGGGGGAGAGAAAAAAAAAGAAAAAAAAAAGAGAAUUAAAAAAAUAUAUACUUUUUCCCCUGUAUACUUUUGCAAUGCUUAUGUCAUUUUUUACAAUGUCUUCCUUGAA